UGCUUAUAGAAAAUGUUCUUAUUAUAAUCCUAUAAUAAGGUACAGAAUUUCACCCCUUGAUUAAAAGUAAGUAUACCUUGAUACCUUAAUAGAAGAGGAAAGCAGACACUUCUGUUUCUUGGACCUGAAUUUAAUUUUAAAAAAAUUUUUUUGAAAAGUCAAUUUUUUGAAAAGCUCUCACAAGCCACAAAUAGCAAUGAACUUCUCAUUUUUAACAACUAUGUGUCAGAUCCUAUGAGCUCCUUUUAAAACAUUUUUUUUUCAUACAAUUCACAUUGCAACCCAAUGAGGUAGGAUGUCAUCUUUUUUAUAGAUGAGAAGGGUGACCUUUGAGAGAGGAAGCACAUAGCCUUUAAGUAAUAGAAUCUGGAGUUCAGAUUUUCUAGAAAGGGUAGGGUGUUGGCUGUGGCUUUAAUUACAAAGAACCUAAAAUAGGUUCCCUUUAAUAUGGAACAUUUUGAAGUAAAAUAUAAAUCUAGUAUUGUGCAAACUACAACUUUUAAUUGGCUCAUAUAUCUGGAAGACUUAGGAAUAUCUCCUUUCAAAGGAAUCCAGUAUUUGUGUCAGCAUUAUUUAGCAUCUUUCCUUCAAAGGUUUAUAACCUCUUAGUGUCCAUUGUUAAGGAGUCAGUUAAGUAAAUUGUGGCAUAUUAAUAUAAUGUGAGAUACCUUAUACCCAGUAAAAAGAAUAUCUACCUAGAUAUGUUUACAUGAAAAAAAAUUACCAUUUAGAGAAGAAUGCACUUGUAAUACAUAGUUUUUCUACAAGUUGCAUUUAUUUUUGAAUUUUUGAAUGAUAUAGCUUAUAUAUAGCGGUACUUACAGAUCUGAAGUAUAUAGCAGUAUUUAUUAUGAAAUAAUAUAACCCAAUUUUUUUAAGAAUAGUUGCCUCUAGGAAAUCAAAUAAGUGUGACAGAAACUUUCACUUUUUGCAUUAUUUUGAAUUUUUGGCAAUGAUAAUCUAUUUCUUCUAUAGAUAAAUAAGGGGAUCAGAUAUCAUAAAAGAUAUAGGGAAGAUCAGUGGAGUGGACAUAAAAGAAUGGGAGGGAGAAAGAGAAAUGGGAAGAUAAAUGAAUUUAACAAAUUAUGUUAUAUUCAUAUGUAAAAAUAACAGGGAAUUUCACUUUUACAUGUAUGUAGAAGAAAGGAAGUUUAAUAGAGUAGAGGAGGGAGACUGGAG
rnacentral:lncRNA from 1 species